AUAUUCCUUUUACUUCACAUUCGUCUUCUUUUUGUAUAACUUCUAUGUUUUUUUGGUUGGGACAAUGAUUUUCUCUCCCAAUCCCCACCGGAGUACCCAAAUUUUGGUCUCUCGUCUUUUGAGCAAUCACACAUGGAAGAUGCUUAUAAUCAUGCGUUGACUGCUAGACACAUGGUACCCCAUGAAACUAAUGUUUAUAUCAUGGAUCUUUUGGCAAGGACACUUAAUGAGAAGACUUAUGACUCUCUUUGGGUUGAAGAUGCUUGACAAAUUCUAUUGGUCUCUUCAGACGACCAAAACCUUUUGAAUACAUCAAAUAGGUACAAAUUCAAACCUUGUAUUUAUUAUUUAUUUAACUUGACACUAUAGGUGCAAAUGAGCCGAGUAGCUCGACUGAAAAAGAAAGCUCGAAUGAGCCGAGCUUAAACACACCAAGCCCAACCCUAAGAACAAGCAUUUUUAGUAAACGAGCCUGAGUUUGAGCUUCGCUUAUUGAGCUCGAGCUGGCUAGCGAGUCUAAACGA
rnacentral:lncRNA from 1 species